AGCAGCCACUCAUUAAAAGAGUGCGUAAUAGCUCACUGGUCGAGUGACUCUGCGCCGAAAAUUUAACGGGGCUAAACUAUACACCGAAGCUUGGGAUACAUCUAAUGUAUGGUAGGAGAGCGUUCUGUAUGGGGAGAAGUCGUAGCGAAAGCGGCGGUGGACUAUACAGAAGUGAGAAUGCCGGAAUAAGUAGCGAGAAUUAAGUGAGAAUCUUAAUGGCCGAAAGUCUAAGGUUUUUGGAGGAAGGUUCGUCCGCUCCAAGUAAGUCGGGAGCUAAGGUCAGGCCGAAAGGCGUAGCCGAUGCACAUACGGUUGAUAUUCCGUAACCAUCUGUAAUUUAAGCAAAGGGACACUUCAAAAGGGUGUGACCCGGGCGUUGGUUGACCCGGGCGUAAGGGACCGAAAUUAGAGUAGGGAAGCACACUUGGCUGAAGGCGAGAAAAGCUUUGCGUAUAGAAACAGAUGCCCGUACCGCAAACCGACACAGGUGGACAGGAAGAGAAUUCUAAGGCCAGCGGGAGAAGGGUAGUUAAGGAACUCGGCAAAUUGACUCCGUAACUUCGGAAUAAGGAGUGCUCGAAAGAGCCGCAGAGAAUAGGCCCAGGCGACUGUUUAGCAAAAACACAGGUCUCUGCCAAAUCGAAAGAUGAAGUAUAGGGGCUGACACCUGCCCGGUGCCGGAAGGUUAAGAGGAGGAGUGAGAGCUCCGAAUUGAAGCCCCGGUAAACGGCGGCCGUAACUAUAACGGUCCUAAGGUAGCGAAAUUCCUUGUCGGGUAAGUUCCGACCCGCACGAAUGGUGUAACGAUCUGGGUACUGUCUCAACUACCCACCCGGCGAAAUUGUAGUACCGGUGAAGAUGCCGGUUACCUGCGGCAAGACGGAAAGACCCCAUGGAGCUUUACUGUAGCCUGAUAUUGGGUUUCGGAAAUCUAUGUACAGGAUAGGCGGGAGACUAGGAAACAUGAGCGUCAGCUUGUGUGGAGUCGAUGUUGGGAUACCGCCCUUAGGUUUCUGGAAUUCUAACCUGCGGCCGUGAAUCCGGUCGGGGGACAUUGUCAGGUGGGCAGUUUGACUGGGGCGGUCGCCUCCGAAAAGGUAACGGAGGCGCUCAAAGGUUAGCUCAGCACGGACGGAAACCGUGCCUCUGAGUGUAAACGCAAAAGCUAGCCUAACUGCGAGGGUGACGGCCCGAGCAGUAACGAAAGUUGGAGUUAGUGAUCCGGCGGUAUGUGAAUGGAAAUGCCGUCGCUCAACGGAUAAAAGCUACCCUGGGGAUAACAGGCUGAUCUCCCCCAAGAGUCCACAUCGACGGGGAGGUUUGGCACCUCGAUGUCGGCUCAUCACAUCCUGGGGCUGUAUUCGGUCCCAAGGGUUCGGCUGUUCGCCGAUUAAAGUGGUACGCGAGCUGGGUUCAGAACGUCGCGAGACAGUUCGGUCCCUAUCUGUCGUGGGCGCAGGAUAUUUGAGGAGCUCUGUCCUUAGUACGAGAGGACCGGGAUGGACGUACCUCUGGUGCACCAGUUGUCAUGCCAAUGGCACGGCUGGGCAGCUAUGUACGGAACGGAUAAACGCUGAAAGCAUCUAAGCGUGAAGCCGACUCCAAGAUUAGAUAUCCCAUCGUAUAACGAGUAAGACCCCUUGAAGACUACGAGGUUGAUAGGCUGCGUGUGUAAGUGCCGUGAGGCAUUCAGCUUGGCAGUACUAAUAGGUCGAGGGCUUGACCAC
rnacentral:rRNA from 1 species